rnacentral:rRNA from 1 species
GAUGAACGCUAGCGGCAGGCUUAAUACAUGCAAGUUGAGGGGCAGCAUGAUAUACGCGAGUAUAUUGAUGGCGACCGGCGGACGGGUGAGUAAUAGGUAGGAGACCUACCUCAUACAGGGGGAUAGCAUAGAGAAAUCUGUGGUAAUACCCCAUGAGGUUAUAUGAAUAGAGGCAUAUAAUCAAAGCAUAAGUGAUUAUGCGGUAUGAGAGGGGCCUACUGACCAUUAGCUAGUUGGUGAGGUAAGGGCUCACCAAGGCGAAGAUGGUUAGGGGUUUUGAGAGAGAGACCCCCCCACAUUGGAACUGAGAGACGGUCCAGACUCCUACGGGAGGCAGCAGUAGGGAAUAUUGGGCAAUGGGCGAAAGCCUGACCCAGCCAUGCCGCGUGAAGGAAGACGGCCUUAUGGGUUGUAAACUUCUUUACUACGCGAAUAGAGGUUAGUACGAGAUACUAAUAGGAAGGUAGUGUAGUAAAAGCACCGGCUAACUCCGUG